rnacentral:ncRNA from 2 species
AGACUUGCUCGCAAUUCUGGUGCUCGCGCGCGUGGAUCUCUCGCGCGCGGUUAAACGGGAAGCAGGAAGCGGUCGGUCCUUUCACGGAACGUCCGCCAACUUGCGCUGCCCCCGCAACGGUAAGCGAAAGCCGCGCGCUUCGAUUCAUGCGCGGCAAAGCCGGCUUCGGUGCAUGUGCUUUAUUCAGCACAUGCAUGGCUCCACUGCGCAACGUGUUACGCGCGGGAAGGUGAAGCGGCGUUUUCGUCAGCCCGGAUACCGGCCAGAAAAAUCGGACACUA